rnacentral:lncRNA from 1 species
CGAGUGACGAGUGGCAUGUGGCAAAUUUAGGCCAAGUUUGGAGGUUAAGACCUCGUUUUAUAGUUAAAAUAUGUGAAUUUCGAAGUAUGGAUCACCAAACUUAUUCAGGAGUGUUUGGGAAGAAAUAAGGAAUCAAUCCAAUUGGGUUUGCUGCAUAAAAUCAUCGCUACAUGCCACUCAUGUGAAAACUUAAAAACACCUCAAAACACCGAGAGGCCAAUCUCCAACCAUAAGUCACUUGGGAACAAGCUUAUGCGACAUUCCAGCUCCUAAUUUCCUCUACACCUGGACCUACGGGAAGGACAGGUUAGCACCAUCCUGGUGCUCAUUUUCGGGAAUGCAGCAGCAACCUUUUUAGGAGCCAUUUGGGUUUGUUUGGGAACAUUUAAGUUUUGUGACUGGUAGUAACUAUGAAGUUCAUAUCACAGACAUUUGGUUGAUGUACUAUGUUAUUAAUUACUUUUUUCAGAUUUAGCUUACCUUUGUUUUUAUAUAACAUAUAUAACAUAUUUGUAUAUUAAUGUAUUAGGUUCCCAAACUGAUUUACGAUCUACGGUAAGUUACUUGUGCACAAGGAAUAAGAAAAUUAGGUUUUUAUACUUUAUUAUUGAGUUAAUUGGUUUGUAAAUUUAGGUUGUAAUAUUAAUUGCUUGUUUCCCAGAUAUUUUGUUGUUCAUUUGCUUUUCUUCAUUGGUUCGGUCAAUUCAUGUCGUUUGUAUAGGUUAUCAUAGCUUUAAUUUAUUUAACGUUUAUUCAUUUAACUUUGCUUAAUUCAUUUGACUGUAUUUUAUUUAGUCAGGCUUGUGACAGCUGAUCUAUAUAUUUUUCCAUAUUUGUCGGUAUUUAAUUUAGUUGUACGUAGCAAGUGUACUAUAACCAUUUGGUACAGGUAGUCUCAUGUGAGAUGUACCCUAUGUAUAAAUAAGAGGUAUAUAAUUUUGUAACAUAUAUAUAACAGUACUGUUGUUAUAUUGUAUAUCCUGUUAAAGCGUUAACUUUUGUCAUGUUAGAGGCACAUACAUACUAUUCAAUUUGGUUUAGCUCAGAGUUUGUCAAACAUCUAGUAGUUAUAUUUAAUAAAUUUUGUUUAUUUG